rnacentral:rRNA from 1 species
GACGAACGCUGGCGGCGUGCUUAACACAUGCAAGUCGAACGGAAAGGCCCUGCUUUUGUGGGGUGCUCGAGUGGCGAACGGGUGAGUAACACGUGAGUAACCUGCCCUUGACUUUGGGAUAACUUCAGGAAACUGGGGCUAAUACCGGAUAGGAGCUCCUGCUGCAUGGUGGGGGUUGGAAAGUUUCGGCGGUUGGGGAUGGACUCGCGGCUUAUCAGCUUGUUGGUGGGGUAGUGGCUUACCAAGGCUUUGACGGGUAGCCGGCCUGAGAGGGUGACCGGCCACAUUGGGACGGAGAGAGGGCCCGGACGGCUACGGGAGGCAGCAGGGGGGAGUGGUGCACGAUGGGCGGAGGCCUGAUGCAGCAACGCCGCGUGCGGGAUGACGGGCUGGGGGGGGGGGGGGGGGGGGGCGUGGGACGAAGCGUGAGUGACGGUAAUGGGUAAAGAAGCACCGGCUAACUACGUG